GUAUUAUUGAUCGCGUGCGACCGCGAAAAUAAACAUUCUACACUGUAUCGAGUUUUGUGUAAAGACGCGGGCCCUCCGGCAAAGGGGGACCCACGCGGUGAUGCACAAAGGGUGAGAUGGAUUGUGUGAGAGCACUUGGGCGUGCACGACCGAAAAGGUCAGCGACAGCCCUCGCACCUCGGUUUUACAAUAAUGAUCCUUCCGCAGGUUCACCUACGGAAA
rnacentral:misc_RNA from 1 species